AUAUUAACAUACCUUAAUAGGCCUGAUGUUCAAAAGGCACUCCACGCCAAUACAACUCACCUCCCUUUCCAUUGGGAUUUCUGUUCAGGGCCUCGUUUACGAUGAAGUAAACAUGGAAAUCAACAUCAUUCCUGUCGUCUCAGAUCUUAUCAAGGAGGGUAUUCCUGUGUUUUUAUAUAGCGGGGACCAAGAUGCAAAAAUCCCACUGACUCAAACAAGGAUAAUUGCAAAUAACAUUGCAAAGGAGUUGAAACUUGUUCCACUGUC